rnacentral:rRNA from 1 species
CUGGGAGCGGCCGAAUUCUGAUUAGCUAGUUGGUAGGGUAAAAGCUUACCAAGGCAUCGAUCAGUAACUGGUUUGAGAGGACGACCCAGCCACACUGGAACUGAGACACGGUCCAGACUCCUACGGGAGGCAGCCAGUGGGGAAUUUUGGACAAUGGGCGAAAGCCUGAUCCAGCAAUGCCGCGUGAGUGAAGAAGGCCUUCCGGGUUGUAAAGCUCUUUUGUCAGGGAAGAAACGGUGAGAGCUAAUAUCUCUUGCUAAUGACGGUACCUGAAGAAUAAGCACCGGCUAACUACGUGCCAGCAGCCGCGGUAAUACGUAGGGUGCAAGCGUUAAUCGGAAUUACUGGGCGUAAAGCGUGCGCAGGCGGUUUUGUAAGUCUGAUGUGAAAUCCCCGGGCUCAACCUGGGAAUUGCAUUGGAGACUGCAAGGCUAGAAUCUGGCAGAGGGGGGUAGAAUUCCACGUGUAGCAGUGAAAUGCGUAGAUAUGUGGAGGAACACCGAUGGCGAAGGCAGCCCCCUGGGUCAAGAUUGACGCUCAUGCACGAAAGCGUGGGGAGCAAACAGGAUUAGAUACCCUGGUAGUCCACGCCCUAAACGAUGUCUACUAGUUGUCGGGUCUUAAUUGACUUGGUAACGCAGCUAACGCGUGAAGUAGACCGCCUGGGGAGUACGGUCGCAAGAUUAAAACUCAAAGGAAUUGACGGGGACCCGCACAAGCGGUGGAUGAUGUGGAUUAAUUCGAUGCAACGCGAAAAACCUUACCUACCCUUGACAUGGC